rnacentral:rRNA from 1 species
UACAGAAGCGAAGCACAAGCCGGGAAUGGAAAUACCGGUGCAAGCUAAGGAGCAGUGUGAGAGGCAAAUCCCUCAUAUAAUGCGAGAGAGUGAAGCGUAGCGAACAUAAGGGUAGCGAAGUGUGUGGAGAGGCUGUCAGGAAAAGCCGCUAUUGUGUAUCAUGAACCCGUACCGUAAACCGACACAGGUGGAUGAGGAGAGAAUCCUAAGGCCGACGGAAGAAGCAUUGUUAAGGAAUUCGGCAAAAAUGACCCCGUAACUUCGGGAGAAGGGGUGCCUGCGCAAGCAGGUCGCAGAGAAUUGGCCCAAGCAACUGUUUAGCAAAAACACAGGUUUAUGCGAAACCGAAAGGUGAAGUAUAUGAGCUGACGCCUGCCCGGUGCUGGAAGGUUAAGGGGAGUGCUUAGACUUUAGUCGAAGGUGCGAACUUAAGCCCCAGUAAACGGCGGCCGUAACUAUAACGGUCCUAAGGUAGCGAAAUUCCUUGUCGGGUAAGUUCCGACCCGCACGAAAGGCGUAAUGAUUGGGCGCUGUCUCGACAAUGCAUCCGGUGAAAUUGAAGUACCAGUGAAGAUGCUGGUUACCCGCGCCAGGACGGAAAGACCCCAUGGAGCUUUACUCUAGUUUGAUGCUGGGAUUCGAUACUGCAUGUACAGGAUAGGCGGGAGACUGAGAAGUAGUGACGUCAGUUGCUACAGAGUCGCUGUUGGGAUACCGCCCCUGCAGUAUUGGGUUUCUAACCUGCGGCCGUAAGCCGGUCGGGGGACAACGUCAGGCGGGGAGUUUGGCUGGGGCGGUCGCCUCCGAAAGGGUAUCGGAGGCGCUCAAAGGUUCCCUCAGAAUGGUCGGAAACCAGUCGAAGAGUGCAAAGGCAGAAGGGAGCUUGACUGCGAGACCGACGGGUCGAGCAGGUACGAAAGUAGGACUUAGUGAUCCGGUGGUAUGAAAGUGGGAUUGCCAUCGCUCAACGGAUAAAAGCUACCCUGGGAUAACAGGCUUAUCACUCCCAAGAGUUCACAUCGACGGAGUGGUUCGGCACCUUGAUGUCGGCUCAUCGCAUCCUGGGGCUGUAGCAGGUCCCAAGGGUUGGGCUGUUCGCCCAUUAAAGCGGUACGCGAGCUGGGUUCAGAACGUCGUGAGACAGUUCGGUCCCUAUCCGGCGCGGGCGUAGGAUAUCUGAAAGGAGCUGGCCUUAGUACGAGAGGACCGGGCUGGACGAACCGCUGGUUCACCUGUUGUCAUACCAAUGGCAUAGCAGGGUAGCCAAGUUUGGAAGGGAUAAACGCUGAAGGCAUCUAAGCGUGAAGCCCCCCUUAAGAUAAGAUAUCCCUGGAGUAAUCCAGUAAGACCCCUUGAAGACGACGAGGUAGAUAGGGCAGAGGUGGAAGUGUGGUAACACAUGCAGCUGACUGUCACUAAUAGGUCGAGGGCUUGAGC